UCCACCCCAAAACCUCAUUAUUCCACCCCAAAAUUCAUUAUUCCACCCCAAAACCUCAUUAUUCCACCCCAAAACCUCAUUAUUCCACCCCAAAACCUCAUUAUUCCACCCCAAAACCUCAUUAUUCCACCCCAAAACUUCAUUAUUCCACCCCAAAACCUCAUUAUUCCACCCCAAAACCUCAUCUUCCCACCCCAAAUUCUCCCUCUGAACUCUCAUCUCCAACCCUUAUGAUCUCAAGUCUUUGUUCUGUACCUUUAAACUUCGCAUUUCUGGCCCCAAACUUUACUCCCCUGCCCCCAAAAUCCUCAUUUCUUGCCCCAAAAUCACGGGAUCCCCAUCAAAAAUCCCUAUUUCCCCCCAGGAGCUGCUGGAGCUGCAGGCACAGGAGCACAUGGCAGCUACACGCGCCCACCGGGAGCAGCACCGGGCAGAGCUGGAGGGCCGUGUUGGGGAGCUGCGGGCGCUGCUGGGGGACGCAGAGAGACAGAGGGAGCUGCAGGAGGCCGAGGGCCGAGCACUGCGCCAGGAACUGAAGGACGUCAGGGAUGGGCAGCGGAUCCUGGAGAAGAAGGGCAGCGCUGCGCUGAAGGACCUGAAACGUCAACUGCAGCUGGGAACGACGCCGCGCCGACCGGGCCUGCAGGAGAGGUGCAGGAGCUGCUGACCCCAACCCGCAUCCGCCUCCGGGUAUAGGGGGGGGAAUGGGACCCCCAGGCGGGGGCACAAGCCCAGUGGUGGGGGUCUGGCCCUGACCCUAUGCGGUCCCCUUUUUGGCCCCCCAUUUGAUUUUAGGGCUGGAGGAGCUGGGGCUGGAGGGGGGGUCCCCAGGACGGGGGCCGGGGGGGGACAACAGCAGCGUGUCGUCAUUGGGGAGGGGAAAGUUCUCAGCCCCUGCCCAGCACCAAGAGUGGGUAUGGAGAGGCGGGGGGUGGGUCGGGGCCAUGUGCCUGGUUUAUGUGUGGUAUUGAUAACCCUUCACCCCCCCCCAUCCCACCUCCCCAGUCGGGGCUCCGGCAGCCCCGGGGGGGAGUGGUGGGGGGGGGGGUUUCCUGCAGGGGGGGUUGUCCCCGGCGGAGGUGGCCGAACUGUUCCAGCGCCUGGCCCAGAGUCAGCAGGAAAGAUGGCUGCUGUGAGGGAGAAGGUGGUGGGGCUGGGGCCAACGGUGGGAUGGGGGUGGUGAUCGGGGGGUUGGGGGGGCCGACUGGGGGCUGGGUAUAGUGGGAGGAG
rnacentral:lncRNA from 1 species